AAUUCUAACUGCAAUUAUUUUCGGUACAGCCUCUUCCGCCUCAGGAGGAGAUGGAAUUGAAAGAGACACUACAAGAUAUAAUUGGACAGGGGAAGACAGUUAAGCUUGAACAGAAGAUAGAUCCUAGUAUUCUUGGUGGCCUUGUGAUAGAAUUUGGGCAGAAGGUCUUCGACAUGUCUAUUAAGACAAGGGCAAAACAGAUGGAGAGGUUUCUUCGUGAGCCUGCCAACCUUGGUAGCCUCUGAAUUAUGUGACACAUUCCGGCACCUUUGUUGCAUGCCACUUGUUCUGCUCCAAUUUGAGUGUGCAGAGGAAGGUGAAAGAACUGUUAAUGUUAUCAUCUGGUUCUGUUUUCUUGUAGUCUGCCUUCACAUAAGAUGGAAUGCAUCCAUUUAUCAAAUAAGAAAUUACUUUCUGUAUUCGCAUUUCUCUAGGCCCAAAUCUGUUUUUUCUGAAUAUAGGAGGUUGUCUGUAUGGGCAAAUAUUCCUUUUGGGGGGUUCAUAAAGUUGUUUCAACAAUCAUUCAAGUGCGGAUUUCCUUAACCAUGCAAUUGAUACAGUUGCUGAUUUUUAUAGAUUCAUA